GGAGUUAGCCGGUGCUUCUUCUGUGAGUGAUGUCCUUCCUGCCGGCUAUUAACCCGCAGGCCUUCUUCCUCACUGAAAGUGCUUUACAACCCGAAGGCCUUCUUCACACACGCGGCAUGGCUGGAUCAGGGUUGCCCCCAUUGUCCAAUAUUCCCCACUGCUGCCUCCCGUAGGAGUCUGGGCCGUGUCUCAGUCCCAGUGUGGCUGAUCAUCCUCUCAGACCAGCUACGGAUCGUCGCCUUGGUGAGCCGUUACCUCACCAACCAGCUAAUCCGACAUAGGCUCAUCCGAUAGCGCGAGGCCCGAAGGUCCCCCGCUUUCCCCCGUAGGGCGUAUCGCGGUAUUAGGCCUGGGUUUCCCCAGGUUAUCCCCCACUACCGGGCAGAUUCCUAUGCAUUACUCACCCGUCCGCCGCUCGCCACCAGGGAGCAAGCUCCCCGUGCUGCCGCUCGACUUGCAUGUGUUAGGCCUGCCGCCAGCGUUCAAUCUGAGCCAGAAUCAAACUCUGA
rnacentral:rRNA from 1 species